GGGGGGGCAGCCGGGGUGGGGGUUUCCCAAGAAGAGGAGGGGCAGGAGGAAGGAAGGAGAAAGAAGCAUCUGGCCUAACCCAUUCUCCCAGCAGUGCCGGGAGCGAGAGCUGCGCAGCAUGAAAACCUGCCAUUGGUGUACUAGGUUUGUGGAAAAGUCCACCAAGCAACCAGGCUUGAAUAAAUAUGCUCUCUCUCCUGAGCAUGUUAAGAUUGGUUUAUUGCCCGCUGGGCACGAAUCCUCUUUGCAGAUAACUGUGUUUUGGCGUCCCAGAUGGGAUGUACGGCUGUAAUGCCUUGCCCAGGUUGACGUGCUGACUCUUGGUGGGGAGACCCUGCUUGCUGGAUGCCAGCACGCAGCGACCUUUUGAUCGGGGACGCCGUGAGUGCUCUCCCUGACCAGAGUGGGUAAGCCAUGCUUACAUAAAGAGGUAAAGAGACACCCGCGUAUUCUUUUGGGAGGAGGACUGGAGCUAGGGAAGAGGAAGAGAGGAGAGAUGGAGAAAGAAGGGUCUGAAGGGGUAAAUUUCCGAGGCAGCACUGAGAGUGAGAGCUGUGGCUAGCGCUGGUUUUUUCCUUUUCCAGUUCUUUGUCCUGAUUGGCAUCAGUCCCUUUUCUCCCAUAACUUCUCUUGCUGGUUCCCACAUGUUCUUUUCCUCUCUGUGCCUGCAUGUG